UACGUAGGGGGCAAGCGUUGUCCGGAUUUAUUGGGCGUAAAGAGCGUGUAGGCGGCUUGGUAGGUCCGCUGUGAAAACUCGAGGCUCAACCUCGAGACGCCGGUGGAAACUGCAAAGCUAGAGUCCGGAAGAGGAGAGUGGAAUUCCUGGUGUAGCGGUGAAAUGCGCAGAUAUCAGGAAGAACACCCGUGGCGAAGGCGGCUCUCUGGGACGGUACUGACGCUGAGACGCGAAAGCGUGGGGAGCGAACAGG
rnacentral:rRNA from 1 species